rnacentral:rRNA from 1 species
AUGAACGCUAGCUACAGGCUUAACACAUGCAAGUCGAGGGGCAGCAUGGUCUUAGCUUGCUAAGGCCGAUGGCGACCGGCGCACGGGUGAGUAACACGUAUCCAACCUGCCGUCUACUCUUGGACAGCCUUCUGAAAGGAAGAUUAAUACAAGAUGGCAUCAUGAGUCCGCAUGUUCACAUGAUUAAAGGUAUUCCGGUAGACGAUGGGGAUGCGUUCCAUUAGAUAGUAGGCGGGGUAACGGCCCACCUAGUCUUCGAUGGAUAGGGGUUCUGAGAGGAAGGUCCCCCACAUUGGAACUGAGACACGGUCCAAACUCCUACGGGAGGCAGCAGUGAGGAAUAUUGGUCAAUGGGCGAGAGCCUGAACCAGCCAAGUAGCGUGAAGGAUGACUGCCCUAUGGGUUGUAAACUUCUUUUAUAAAGGAAUAAAGUCGGGUAUGGAUACCCGUUUGCAUGUACUUUAUGAAUAAGGAUCGGCUAACUCCGUGCCAGCAGCCGCGGUAAUACGGAGGAUCCGAGCGUUAUCCGGAUUUAUUGGGUUUAAAGGGAGCGUAGAUGGAUGUUUAAGUCAGUUGUGAAAGUUUGCGGCUCAACCGUAAAAUUGCAGUUGAUACUGGAUAUCUUGAGUGCAGUUGAGGCAGGCGGAAUUCGUGGUGUAGCGGUGAAAUGCUUAGAUAUCACGAAGAACUCCGAUUGCGAAGGCAGCCUGCUAAGCUGCAACUGACAUUGAGGCUCGAAAGUGUGGGUAUCAAACAGGAUUAGAUACCCUGGUAGUCCACACGGUAAACGAUGAAUACUCGCUGUUUGCGAUAUACGGCAAGCGGCCAAGCGAAAGCGUUAAGUAUUCCACCUGGGGAGUACGCCGGCAACGGUGAAACUCAAAGGAAUUGACGGGGGCCCGCACAAGCGGAGGAACAUGUGGUUUAAUUCGAUGAUACGCGAGGAACCUUACCCGGGCUUAAAUUGCAGAUGAAUUACGGUGAAAGCCGUAAGCCGCAAGGCAUCUGUGAAGGUGCUGCAUGGUUGUCGUCAGCUCGUGCCGUGAGGUGUCGGCUUAAGUGCCAUAACGAGCGCAACCCUUGUUGUCAGUUACUAACAGGUUCCGCUGAGGACUCUGACAAGACUGCCAUCGUAAGAUGUGAGGAAGGUGGGGAUGACGUCAAAUCAGCACGGCCCUUACGUCCGGGGCUACACACGUGUUACAAUGGGGGGUACAGAGGGCCGCUACCACGCGAGUGGAUGCCAAUCCCAAAAACCUCUCUCAGUUCGGACUGGAGUCUGCAACCCGACUCCACGAAGCUGGAUUCGCUAGUAAUCGCGCAUCAGCCACGGCGCGGUGAAUACGUUCCCGGGCCUUGUACACACCGCCCGUCAAGCCAUGGGAGCCGGGGGUACCUGAAGUGCGUAACCGCGAGGAGCGCCCUAGGGUAAAACUGGUGACUGGGGCU